rnacentral:rRNA from 1 species
AAAGUAACUAAGGGGGUGCUAAUUUAUUUUUUCAUGUCACCUGAAUUUAUUAAUUUAUUAUAGUUAAUUUAUUUAUACAGCCACACAAAAAAUAAAAAUUAGGAAGGUAUAAAGAGGGGUAUCUAAUAAAAUCCCGAGUUCCUCUGGGGGGGCUAAAUUGCUGUCAACUUUUUUAAAGUUUAAAAAUUUUUUUACUAGUACUUUAUUUUAUUUGUUAUAAUAAUAACAGGCGUCUAACCCCGGUUUAUAAAAAAUUUUGCCAGUGAGUAAAAAUAAAGAAUACGCAAAAUUCACAACUAGUUAGCGUUAUUUCAUUUUUUUAAGGUAAAAAUUAAUUUUUAUUUUUUAACAAGUUUAACC